UACGGAGGGUGCAAGCGUUAUCCGGAUUCACUGGGGUUAAAGGGUGCGUAGGUGGGUUGGUAAGUCAGUGGUGAAAUCCCCGAGCUUAACUUGGGAACUGCCAUUGAUACUAUCAGUCUUGAAUAUCGUGGAGGUCAGCGGAAUAUGUCAUGUAGCGGUGAAAUGCUUAGAUAUGACAUAGAACACCAAUUGCGAAGGCAGCUGGCUACACGGAUAUUGACACUGAGGCACGAAAGCGUGGGGAUCAAACAGG
rnacentral:rRNA from 1 species